CCUACGGGAGGCAGCAGUGGGGAAUAUUGGGCAAUGGAGGAAACUCUGACCCAGCAACGCCGCGUGCAUGAUGAAGGUCUUCGGAUUGUAAAGUUCUUUUCUAAGGGAAGAAGAAAGUGACGGUACCUUAGGAAUAAGCCUCGGCUAACUACGUGCCAGCAGCCGCGGUAAUACGUAGGAGGCAAGCGUUAUCCGGAAUGACUGGGUGUAAAGGGUGCGUAGGUGGUUUGACAAGUUGGUAGGGUAACUCCGAGGCUUAACCCCGGCACUACUACCAAAACUGUUGGACUAGAGUGCAGGAGGGGCAGAUGGAAUGCCUGGUGUAGCGGUGAAAUGCGUAGAUAUUA
rnacentral:rRNA from 1 species